GAAGUACGAACAAGCCCUGAGAAAGUCCCAGCUGCUUCCCUUAGUUGGAUGAAAAUCUUCUUCUGUAAGAAUCAACAAGCUAACAAUACUGCUUACUUAGAGACCUUUUUGUCUUCUGCGGAGAUAUCAAUGGACUUUACAAUUUCAAUUAUCUUUCAUAAUAUUCCCUGGUGUUAGAACAAACUGCCUCCUCUGAACAAACAUUCCUCUCACCAGGGUGGGAAGUUUACCAAACUUUGUGGCUCCUUUAUUCCCCUCCUCCAUCAGGUUGGUCCCCCUUUCAAAUGACCCAUCCCCCAUCACCACAACUCAAAAAUGUACCUGCUCAGUCCUCCUUAUCCAAUUUCAUCCUAGGUUGGAAAGAAAAUAUUUUAAUUGUUUCUUAGAAGUGAGGGUUUUUAAUGAAUUUUAGAAUCAACUUGUCAAUUUCUGCUGCUCUUAAAAUGUAUAUGGAAAUGCAUGGGACUCAUAAAAGCCAAAACAAUGAAGAACAAAGUUGGUGGAUUCACACUUCCCAAUUUCAAAACUUACAACAAAACUACAGUAACAAAGACAGUGUGUUACUGACAGAAGGAUAAACAUACAGAUCAAUGGAACAGAAUUGAGAAUCACAAAUAAACCCUAACAGUUACAAUCAAUUGAUUUUCAACGAAAGAGCCAAGACAAUUCAAUGGGG
rnacentral:lncRNA from 1 species